UAGGGAAUCUUCGGCAAUGGACGGAAGUCUGACCGAGCAACGCCGCGUGAGUGAAGAAGGUUUUCGGAUCGUAAAGCUCUGUUGUAAGAGAAGAACGAGUGUGAGAGUGGAAAGUUCACACUGUGACGGUAUCUUACCAGAAAGGGACGGCUAACUACGUGCCAGCAGCCGCGGUAAUACGUAGGUCCCGAGCGUUGUCCGGAUUUAUUGGGCGUAAAGCGAGCGCAGGCGGUUAGAUAAGUCUGAAGUUAAAGGCUGUGGCUUAACCAUAGUACGCUUUGGAAACUGUUUAACUUGAGUGCAAGAGGGGAGAGUGGAAUUCCAUGUGUAGCGGUGAAAUGCGUAGAUAUAUGGAGGAACACCGGUGGCGAAAGCGGCUCUCUGGCUUGUAACUGACGCUGAGGCUCGAAAGCGUGGGGAGCAAACAGGAUUAGAUACCCUGGUAGUCCACGCCGUANCGAUGAGUGCUAGGUGUUAGACCCUUUCCGGGGUUUAGUGCCGCAGCUAACGCAUUAAGCACUCCGCCUGGGGAGUACGACCGCAAGGU
rnacentral:rRNA from 1 species